rnacentral:sRNA from 1 species
AGAAGAAGGGGAGAGGAGGUUGUGUGGGACAAGGUGCUCCUGACAGAAGGAUGCCACAGCUGAGCCUGUCCUCACUGGGCCUUGGGCCAGUGGCAGCAUCCCCCUGGCUGCUCCUGCUGCUGGUCGGGGCCUCCUGGCUCCUGGCCCGCAUCCUGGCCUGGACCUACACCUUCUAUGACAACUGCCGCCGCCUCCGGUGUUUCCCGCAACCCCCGAAACGGAAUUGGUUAUUGGGUCACCUGGGCCUGGUCACCCCCACGGAGCAGGGCAUGAGGGUCCUGACUCAGCUGGUGGCCACCUACCCCCAGGGCUUUAAGGUCUGGAUGGGCCCCAUCUUCCCCGUCAUCCGUUUUUGCCACCCCAACAUCAUCCGGUCUGUCAUCAACGCCUCAGCCGCCGUUGCACCAAAGGACAAGGUCUUCUACAGCUUUCUGGAGCCCUGGCUGGGUGAGUAUCUGCAGGUGAACAGGGUUGGGAACAACCUGGGGGGCCGGGGAGAGAGAUGCCCUUGAGCAUGGCCCUUGGCUGCCCUGCCAGGGGAUGGGCUCCUGCUGAGUGCUGGUGACAAGUGGAGCCGCCACCGUCGGAUGCUGACGCCCGCCUUCCAUUUCAACAUCCUGAAGCCCUACAUGAAGAUUUUCAAUGAGAGUGUGAACAUCAUGCAUGCCAAGUGGCAGCUCCUGGCCUCAGAGGGUAGUGCCCUUCUGGACAUGUUUGAGCACAUCAGCCUCAUGACCUUGGACAGUCUGCAGAAAUGUGUCUUCAGCUUUGACAGCCAUUGCCAGGAGAAGCCCAGUGAAUAUAUUGCCGCCAUCUUGGAGCUCAGUGCCCUUGUGACAAAAAGACACCAGCAGAUCCUCCUGUACAUAGACUUCCUGUAUUAUCUCACCCAUGAUGGGCAGCGUUUCCGCAGGGCCUGCCGCCUGGUGCAUGACUUCACAGAUGCCGUCAUCCAGGAGCGGCGCCGCACCCUCCCUAGCCAGGGUGUUGAUGACUUCCUUCAAGCCAAGGCCAAAUCCAAGACUUUGGACUUCAUUGAUGUGCUCCUGCUGAGCAAGGAUGAAGAUGGGAGGAAGUUGUCUGAUGAGGACAUAAGAGCAGAAGCUGACACCUUUAUGUUUGAGGGCCAUGACACCACGGCCAGUGGUCUCUCCUGGGUCCUGUACCACCUUGCAAAGCACCCGGAAUACCAGGAGCGCUGUCGGCAGGAGGUGCAAGAGCUUCUGAAGGACCGUAAGCCUAAAGAGAUUGAAUGGGAUGACUUGGCCCAGCUGCCCUUCCUGACCAUGUGCAUUAAGGAGAGCCUGCGGCUGCAUCCCCCAGUCCCUGCCGUCUCUCGCUGCUGCACCCAAGACAUUGUGCUCCCAGACGGCCGGGUCAUCCCCAAAGGCGUUAUCUGCCUCAUCAGUGUUUUUGGAACCCAUCACAACCCAGCUGUGUGGCCGGACCCUGAGGUCUAUGACCCCUUUCGCUUUGACCCAAAGAACAUCAAGGAGAGGUCAUCUCUGGCUUUUAUUCCCUUCUCAGCAGGGCCCAGGAAUUGCAUCGGGCAGGCCUUCGCGAUGGCCGAGAUGAAGGUGGUCCUGGGGCUCACGCUGCUGCGCUUCCGCGUCCUGCCUGACCACACCGAGCCCCGCAGGAAGCCGGAGCUGGUCCUGCGCGCAGAGGGCGGACUUUGGCUGCGGGUGGAGCCCCUGAGCUGAGUUCUGCAGAGACCCACUCUGACCCCACUAAAAUGACCCCUGAUUCAUUAAAAGUGAAGCCUAGAAUUACCCUAAGACCCUGUUCCACAGUCCUGUAUUCCAUCCUAGAUAUCUACUCAAAAUAAUUGAGACAAGUGUUCAAACAAAAAGACGCUUGUGCGUGAAUAUUCAUGGCAGCCCUAUUCACAGUAGCCAAACGAUGAAAACAACCCCAAGGUAUAUAUUAGCAGAUGAAAGGAUAAACAAAAUGUGAUCCAUCCAUGCAAUGGAAUAUUACACAGCCAUAAAAAGGAAUGAAGCAGUGAUCCCUACUACACUGUGGAUGAACCUUGAAUACAUGAUACUGAAUGAAAGAUGUCAGAUGCAAAAGGUCA